rnacentral:tRNA from 1 species
AGCUAUUUAACUAAACAAGAUAAUAUCUUGAAAAUAUUAUAUAGAAUAUGACUAUUCUAAUAGCUU